rnacentral:lncRNA from 1 species
UUAGUUAGCGAACACAUCCGAUACUCAUGAUCAAAACUUUUUUUUAAUGGCUAGUGUCUGAAGUAAAUUAUCCAUAUGGAGGAAAGCAAGCUGUCCGACUGAAUUAUUAUCUCAUUAAUAGAUGGAUGUGCUUGAACUUUCAGUUUUAGUUUCAAAAUGGAAUAGGCUUGUUCGAGAAUAUACCAUUGGGUAGUCAGCUUGACCUGCAUCAAUGCGAGGUUCCACAUGAUAUCAAUUUAUGUUUGUAAAA